rnacentral:ribozyme from 1 species
UGCCCAGCAACUCCUAUCCCUACCUCCACGUGGUACCGGCCGUAAACUAUGAGUAACCUUAGGGAAGAUCGGGUAACCAACCCCGGUGGGAACUUUGGUCGUAGGCUGACAGGGAAGG